rnacentral:rRNA from 1 species
AUGUUGCUAGAGCUUUCUAGGCUGAACUUUAACCUCGUUAGGAUCCUUCACCUCAAGGAGCUCAAGGACCUCUCAUUAUGGUGGAGGGACCUAUAUGAGACCGUGAAGCUACCAUAUGCUCGUGACUGUAUGGUGGAGAUCUACUUUUGGACUUGUGGAAUGCUUCAUGAGGAGGAGUACUCUCGUGCACGGAUCCAAUUAGCUAAGGUGUUUGGAAUGGUGUCGCUUCUAGAUGAUACUUUUGAUGUCCAUGCCACAUUAGAGGAGUGUCACAAGCUCAAUGAAGCAAUGCAAAGAUGGCAUGAAAAUGAGGUUUUUAUUCUACCAGAAUAUCUUCACAUGUUGUACAUCAAGACUCUCGCCAAUUUCAAAGAGUUUGUGGAUGCGUUGGAACCAAACCACAAGUAUCGCAUGGCGUUUCAAAUUAUGAUGCAGUACAAGCUAUCAUCAGAAUAUUACCUACGUGAAGUUGUCUUGUCUAGCAAGAAAUAUCGGCCAAGCUUCAAGGAACAUGAGGAGAUAUCUAUCAUGACCUCGGGUCUACCGAUGCUUACUCUCGUGACACUAAUGGGCUAUGGCGAUGUGGCAACCCAAGAGGUAUUUGAAUGGGUAGAUAGAGUUCCUGGAAUGGUCCGCGCUGGUUCACAGGUCACUCGCUUCCUCAAUGAUAUGUCUUCUUACAAGUUGGGAAAGCACAAGAAGGAUAUGCCUAGCACCCUGGAGUGCUACAUGAUAGAGAACGACUCAACGGGUGAUGAAGCUAUGGCAGCUGUCGCCGCACUCCUAGAGAAUAGGUGGAGAAUAUUGAACCAGGUGACCAUGGAGAUAGACCAUGCACUGAUGCCGGCAGCAGAGGUGGUGGUAAACAUGGCAAGGACAAACGAGAUCAUUUAUCUCAAAGGCAGGGAUGCCUAUACCUUUGGUAGCGACCUAAAGGACCUCGUCACCGCACUCUUCCUCAAUCCGGUACCCCUUUAG